rnacentral:rRNA from 1 species
UACAGAGGGUGCAAGCGUUGUUCGGAAUUAUUGGGCGUAAAGGGCGCGUAGGCGGCCUGUUGCGUCCGCUGUGAAAUCCCGGGGCUCAACCCCGGGCGUGCAGUGGAUACGGGCUGGCUGGAGGCAGGCAGGGGAGAACGGAAUUCCUGGUGUAGCGGUGAAAUGCGCAGAUAUCAGGAGGAACACCGGUGGCGAAGGCGGUUCUCUGGGCCUGUACUGACGCUGAGGAGCGAAAGCGUGGGGAGCGAACAGG